UAACGGCGAGUGAACCGGGAUGAGCUCAAAUUUGAAAUCUGGCGUCUUUCAGGCGUCCGAGUUGUAAUCUAUAGAGGCGUUUUCCGCGCCGGACCGCGUCCAAGUCUCUUGGAAUAGAGUAUCAAAGAGGGUGACAAUCCCGUACUUGACGCGACAACCGGUGCUCUGUGAUACGUUCUCAACGAGUCGAGUUGUUUGGGAAUGCAGCUCUAAAUGGGUGGUAAAUUCCAUCUAAGGCUAAAUAUUGGCGAGAGACCGAUAGCGAACAAGUACCGUGAGGGAAAGAUGAAAACACUUUUGGAAAGAGAGUUAAACAGCACGUGAAAUUGUUAAAAGGGAAACGAUUGAAGUCAGUCGUGUGAAAGGUAUUCAGCCGUCUCUGGCGGUGUAUUUGCCUUUCACGGGUCAACAUCAGUUUAGUCCGGUAGAAAAAGGCUGGAGGAAGGUGGCACCUCGGGUGUGUUAUAGCCUCCUGUCAUAUGUGCCGGAUUAGACUGAGGAACGCAGCUUGCAGCAAUGCCGGGGUUCGCCCACGUACAAGCUUAGGAUGUUGACAUAAUGGCUUUAAA
rnacentral:rRNA from 1 species